CAGAGCGGCAACCCCUUCCCGCGAGGGUUACUCCUGAGGUGCCAAGAGUUGCAAGGAGGGCACAGUUGUGCCAGCGAAGGGCAGCUUUUUGAGCUUCCAGGCAUCUAUUUUGCUGUGGAACUGAAAUACAACCCAAAGAACUGCAAGGAAGAGAAAUCUCAAGACUACUUUCUCCAAAGAAAUCUGGAUUGAAAAUCAGAACACAGUGAAAAUGACUUAGAUAAAAUAAUGCCACAGAUAUAUCUAAAAUGUGAAUGAAGCUGGAAGCAGCAGAGGACCACACACCAUGAAAUGUAAACAGAGGAGAAAAAAGCUAGAUGCCAGACAGGAAGAGAAGAACCAGAAGAGCAGUCUUUACAAAUAGAGCAACACUAAUACUCCAAGAAGAUGGGCCAUGCUUAUCCUGAGUGUGCUCCCCAAAGAUGCCAGUCAGAAGCCGACAGUAUGGAAUGAAGGGCAGCACAGGUGGAAGGCGAUGUGGCUCGGAGAGCAGAGAGUAGAAGAUACCAGAAAUCGGAUACUUUUAUAUGUCUUCCACUGGACCUCACUCCUCAUCCCCAUGCCUCCCUUUCCCAAGGACCUACCUACCUCAGCAUGGGUGGCAGUGAGAAAGACAAUUUUUCAACUCUCAGAGAAUUCCACUGUGUUAAAUGAAAUGAAGAUAAAACUUGACACCAAGAACAUAUCUUGUGUACUUGAGAACAACUGGUCUAAGGAUACCUGUCUUCUGUGAUCUCUCAUCCUAAAAUUCUGCUGCAUCAGAAAUAGCUUCCCUCACUCAUUCAGAGUCUUCCAACUUUUAAACACUAUAUUCUUAAACACUAUAUUCCCCCCAUCCCCCCAAAGUAAAAUAUCCAUCUUGGUUUUAAAAGGACUCUUCAUUACCUCUGCAGCUGCUCUCCCUUGAUUAUUCACUUAAUACUUUUUUUUUUUUUAAAUGGAGCACUUACUAUAAAGAUAGCAAGAAUUGAGACGCAGGGAUGAAAUUCUAGAAGUCUCUGAUGUAAUCUAAUUCCGUAUACACAAAAUAAUGAAGUGCUGCAUUGCGAGAUACUGUGUAGAAUAAGAGCUCAGAAAAGAUAACAGAAAGGAAGGUAAGAUGAAAGGAGAAAGAGUAUGGUCCAGGGUAGUAAAAAUGAGCACCAUGAGAGGAACAGUGAGGAGAUGGCUUGACUAGAACGGGGAGGGGAGGUGACUAGAAAGUCAGACUGUGGUACCAACUAGAUGGAAGAAGGUCUUUUGAGACAGGCAGAGUAAAUUAAACACUAUGAAGCAGGAAUACAUGGCAAAAGGGAUGAUUUAAAACUCUUAAUGAUAAAGGUUGAAAACUGCAUUUGAAGGGAUCAGAACUAUUACAAGGGAGACGGACUAGGAGGUUGCCACAGCACAUGAGUUGGAAGGGGACAAAAGUCUGGACUUGUGUCACAAAACAAGGAGGACUAUGUGCAUGUGCAUGACAGACUAGAUAUAGAUUUGACAACCACAUUUUCCAAAAUAGUCCUAAAUUUGAUUGUCAAGAAAAGUAAUUAUUUAAAUAUACAACUAAAGAUAGGACUGGUUACAUUUAUGUACCCUUUAAGAUUCUUCAUAUAAUUAAACUCAAAAGUCAGAAAAAAAAUCAGACAUUGUAUUCCUAUUUUAUGGUUCACAAAUUUUAGUUAAUCCUGACAUGAGUUAAAGAUGAAGGAAGGGUCAAAAUUAGCUAGAAAAUGCUACCACUGACCCAAACAGUGCUCUAAUCUCAGGAUGUCUGUUCAAGUAAUUUGCAACCUCAGAAUAUACAUCAUAUUCUGAGAAACAACCCUCCCUUCCAAGGCUGGCCCCUCUCAGAAUUUCCCACCCUAAAUGCCUCCAUCUUUUUGCCACCAAGGCCAGCCUCUUCCAGACACAGCUGGAGUCUUCUCUCACAAGGCCCCUAUGUCAUCUUCUGGUACACCACUGAAUUUCAACAGAAUUAUAUAUCUUCCCACAGAGUAAACACUUGAUUAUAGAAAACCAAAAUCCAAAGAGGAUCCUAAACAUGCAUUUUUAAUUUCAAUAGCUUUUGCUGACUUCCAAAGAAAGUUUUACCACUAAAGGUAACAAUCAGAAAAACUCAAUAUCUGAGUUCCACCAACUUUAUAUCCUGCCCUAUUCCUUCUUUAAGGGCCGAUGAAUGAAAAGGCCAAAGCAUGAUGGUGAAAAAAAAAAGCACCUGGAUUAUUCACAAAUUAGAUAAUUUUUUUUGAUAAUUUUUAUAAUUUAGAAUAGAUGAUACUAAAAUGUUAAAGCAAAUGUUAAAAAUUAAAAUUAGCCAAAGGCCAUAGAGAAUUUAAGGCAGUCUGCUAAAGAAUUUUUUUAAAUAAUAAAAAUUUAAGUAAAAUUUACAUGCCCUACAAAACCAAUAUGCUAGCUUUUCACAAUACUAAUGUUCAAUAUUUACC